AACGAACGCUGGCGGCAUGCCUAACACAUGCAAGUCGAACGAGAACUUCGGGUCUAGUGGCGCACGGGUGCGUAACGCGUGGGAACCUGCCCUUAGGUUCGGAAUAACUCCACGACAGGGGUGAUAAUACCGGAUAAUGUCUUCGGACCAAAGAUUUAUCGCCUUUGGAUGGGCCAGCGUUGGAUUAGCUAGUUGGUAGGGUAAAAGCCUACCAAGGCGACGAUCCAUAGCUGGUCUGAGAGGAUGAUCAGCCACACUGGGACUGAGACACGGCCCAGACUCCUACGGGAGGCAGCAGUGGGGAAUAUUGGACAAUGGGCGAAAGCCUGAUCCAGCAAUGCCGCGUGAGUGAUGAAGGCCUUAGGGUUGUAAAGCGCUUUUACCCGGGAUGAUAAUGACAGUACCGGGAGAAUAAGCCCCGGCUAACUCCGUG
rnacentral:rRNA from 1 species